UAUUUCUAUUGAAACUAUGCUGUGACUUGGCACACACUGAAAAUCCGAGAGAGUAGGGAUUGUUUUUCACCGCUCCCUUUCUUCUCCUGGCACCGCCGAAGGCAGCCCCUAUUGAGGGUUGCUAGGGCCCGGGGUCCUAGGUUUCUAUGACUACGCAAGGCUUUCCGGGAAAAGGCUAGGCCUCCGGCGCCCGGCGGGAAACACAAUUUACUGGUACCGGUAGUAAGUGUCCAUUUCCCAUCGGUUUAAAUGAAGAAAUGAUGAAAGCCCUAGCGCUGCCAGAACCCUGAGUCUGUGAGGGCAGUGCUUGUGGGAGAGGUUGGGGUCCCUAACUGACUGUCUAGAGCGCGCCACCGAGCUGCCAGCGGCCAGUGUGUAGGGUCAGCGGGUAAGGUGUGCGGGUGUGUCCUUCCCGGCCUCUGCCCGGACCCUGACGCCCAUGCAAGCUUCUGAGUCAGGACAGAUGGCGUGAGAGAUCACAGAGGACUCCGAAAAAGGGUAAACCACGGAAGAGGGAUUCUGAAACGCCAAUCUAAACAUAAGCAUUUUAAUGAGUCUUUUGUUUAUUUUGUUUUCUCUACAGGACAGUGUAGUAACCUGAAAGAGCCAGUAGCAGACUGAUUUAUUUCUGAGUUAUCUUUCUGGAGGAAUAUGUCACAUUACAAAAAAGAGUGAUAGGAAGCAUUAUUGUGUCUCUCCCGAAAACGCCAACCUCACCGUUAAAGUCCCCACCAUCUUAUGACCCUAGGAAGUCAAAAGUAUCUGCCUUCAAGGAGACAAGAGGAUAUUUCUUUUCUGUAUGAUGUUAAAUAUGUAAAAGAAGAGACUAGAGAGAAUACAUUUUGUCCCCCACAUUCGGACCAUGCAUUACAAUCCAAAGAUGAUCACGAGAAACAUGAUGGUGUCCUCGUGCCUCACAAGGUAAAACAUUUGAUAAACUUCUCUCCCUCUCUCUACUCUUUAAAUAAGUUCCCCCAAAAUAUAUUGCUUACUGUCUUAUUUCCUUAAAAAGCUAUUUAGUGGGUAAAGAUCAAAAAUAUCUUAAGCUGUUUUCCAAACCAGAGUUGCCACUUUAGAAAAUACAAUGGGAAGACUAGAUUUCUCCUUCCAGAAAUCCACAUACAAAGUUGUAGAUUUCUUAUUCAUGGUAUGAUGCUAAGCUGAAUUUUAGUUUUCCUACUGUUAAAAAAAAUGAAUUUAUUUUUGUUUUGUUUUGGUUUUUGUGAUAAGAUCUUGCUAUGUAGUUCAGGUUGGCCUUGAACUCACUAUAUAGCCCAGGCUGACCUUGAACUCAAAGUGAUCCUGCUGCCUCAGCCUCUCCUGCGUGCUGGGAUUAUAGGCAUGUGGCACCAUGCUUGCCCUAAUGAUGAAUUUCUGAAUACACUGAGAUCUGUAUAUCUGAGAGGUCCUCAUCUGCAUAUCCAACCACCCACAAAUGUGAAAUAUUUUUCAAAAAUUGCAUCUGUUGUGAACCUGUAUAGAGAUUUUCUUAUCAUUAUUUCCUCAAUAAUUCAGUAUCA
rnacentral:lncRNA from 1 species